UGGGGAAUAUUGCACAAUGGGCGAAAGCCUGAUGCAGCGACGCCGCGUGAGGGAUGACGGCCUUCGGGUUGUAAACCUCUUUCAGCAGGGAAGAAGCGAAAGUGACGGUACCUGCAGAAGAAGCGCCGGCUAACUACGUGCCAGCAGCCGCGGUAAUACGUAGGGCGCAAGCGUUGUCCGGAAUUAUUGGGCGUAAAGAGCUCGUAGGCGGUUAGUCGCGUCUGCUGUGAAAACUCGAGGCUCAACCUCGGGCUUGCAGUGGGUACGGGCUGACUAGAGUGCGGUAGGGGUGACUGGAAUUCCUGGCGUAGCGGUGGAAUGCGCAGAUAUCAGGAGGAACACCGAUGGCGAAGGCAGGUCACUGGGCCGCAACUGACGCUGAGGAGCGAAAGCAUGGGGAGCGAACAGGAUUAGAUACCCUGGUAGUCCAUGCCGUAAACGUUGGGCACUAGGUGUGGGGUCCAUUCCACGGAUUCCGUGCCGCAGCAAACGCAUUAAGUGCCCCGCCUGGGGAGUACGGCCGCAAGGCUAAAACUUAAAUGAAUUGAC
rnacentral:rRNA from 1 species